CCCUACCAAAUGUGACACUGGAGGGGGGAGGAAUCCUAAAAACGGAAGUUCCAUUUUUGGGUGGAACUCCGCUUUAAGCAACUUCCUGUAUAGGGUGCCAACACUCUGCCUUCGUCUACCAAAUUGGCUUUUACAUUGUCACCCUAUCAUUAUAGAUUUCUAAUGGAGAAUUGGCUGUUUAACAAGCAUUAUGCUGACAUGGUCCACUGUUGUCACCAUUAGGAACCCACCCUGAGAAAUGCCAUGUAGCCGUCACUCCAGCGUAUGCAUGUAGAUGGCAAAUGGCCACAAAGAGGCUGCAGGAGAUCAUCAGUACUGAGAUACAUCAAGGAUGACAAAGAUUGUCUCCUGAUGAAGCGAUAUCCAUCGCAAAACUAGUCGAGAUCUCCCGUAUCGUGACUCCAACCUUCACCCAAAAAACCCCCCUACCUUGGGGAUUGCACCUCCGGUGAUCCAUUUGACGUCACGCUAUGUGCACUGUUUUUAAAUGAUGUCGAUGUCUGAUGUUUUUUAUCCUUUGUUUUGUGUCAUUAUAUUAAUAAAUUGAUGUUUAUUUUU